rnacentral:rRNA from 1 species
AGAUUGAACGCUGGCGGCAGGCCUAACACAUGCAAGUCGAGCGGUAGAGAGGUGCUUGCACCUCUUGAGAGCGGCGGACGGGUGAGUAAUGCCUAGGAAUCUGCCUAGUGGUGGGGGAUAACGUUCGGAAACGGACGCUAAUACCGCAUACGUCCUACGGGAGAAAGCGGGGGACCUUCGGGCCUCGCGCCAUUAGAUGAGCCUAGGUCGGAUUAGCUAGUUGGUGAGGUAAUGGCUCACCAAGGCGACGAUCCGUAACUGGUCUGAGAGGAUGAUCAGUCACACUGGAACUGAGACACGGUCCAGACUCCUACGGGAGGCAGCAGUGGGAAUAUUGGACAAUGGGCGAAAGCCUGAUCCAGCCAUCGCCGCGUGUGUGAAGAAGGUCUUCGGAUUGUAAAGCACUUUAAGUAGGAGGAAGGUUGUAACUUAAUACGUUGUCAAUUUGACGUUACGACAGAAUAAGCACCGGCUAACGUUCGU